rnacentral:rRNA from 1 species
UACGGAGGAUGCAAGCGUUAUCCGGAAUGAUUGGGCGUAAAGCGUCCGCAGGUGGCAAUGUAAGUCUGCUGUCAAAGCGUCUGGCUCAACCAGAUAAAGGCAGUGGAAACUACAUAGCUAGAGUAAGGUAGGGGUAGAGGGAAUUCCUGGUGUAGCGGUGAAAUGCGUAGAGAUCAGGAAGAACACCGGUGGCGAAAGCGCUCUGUUGGACCUUAACUGACACUGAGGGACGAAAGCUAGGGGAGCGAAUGGG